UACAGAGGGUGCGAGCGUUGUCCGGAAUCACUGGGCGUAAAGGGCGCGUAGGUGGCGCGACAAGUCAGUGGUGAAAGUUCGACGCUCAACGUCGAAUCGGCCACUGAUACUGUUGGGCUUGAGCACUGUAGAGGCUAAUGGAAUUCCGGGUGUAGCGGUGGAAUGCGUAGAGAUCCGGAAGAACACCGGUGGCGAAGGCAAUCCCCUGGACCUGUACUGACGCUCAUGCACGAAAGCGUGGGGAGCAAACAGG
rnacentral:rRNA from 1 species